CUUUAUUAUUUAAUUAUUUUUUAUUAUAUUAACUAGACUUCUAAAAUAUAUGGUAGGAGAAUUAAUUAAUAUUUUCCUUUCUACUCGAUUUUCGUAGGAGAAUUAAUUAAUAAUUUUCUUUCUAUUGUUUGAUUAGAAAAAUACUCAUAAAAUAGGACUCUAUUAAGAAAAUACUCUAUAAAUAUUAAUUAUUUUAUUAUUUUACUUUAAUUUACAGAUGUUAGAUAAAUGUGGGUCGGCUUUGAAUUUUUUUUACAUAAAUGUUAGGUUAAUUGUAUUAUCGUAAUAUCUAUAUUAAUUUGUUAUUUUAUGAUAGUUUACAGUUUGUAGAUGAAUCUCGAUUGGUUUUUAGAAAUUUUUAUGUGUAAAAUUUAAGUUUAAUUGUAUUAUUUUUAUAUCACUUUUAUCGUAUUAUUUUGUUGCAAUUUAUAGGUGAUAGAUAAAUGUUGGUCCGCUUUGAGAAUUUUUUUAUGUAAAAGUUAGGUUUAGUUGUAUUAUUUUGAUAUCUCUAUUAUUGUAUUACUUUGUUAUUGUUUACAGAUGUUAGGUGAGUGUCGAACGAUUUUGAAAAUUUUUUUGUGUGUAAAGAUUAGAUUUAGUUGUGUUAUUUUGAUAUCUCUAUCAUUAUAUUAUUUUGUUAUAAUUUAUAGAUGGGAGAUGAAUGUCGAUCGACUUCUAAAAAUAUUUUGGUAAAGAUUAGGUUUAAUAAAUAAAUUCUCCAUCUUUACAUACUUAAAAGAUAUUAGUUUUUUUCUUCCUUUUUUUUUUUGCUUUUUUUGUUUUCUCUUUUUUCUUUCUUUUUUCAAUUUUUUCUUUCUCGUUAUCUUUUUUCCAUUUUGUCUUUUUUUCUUCUUUUUAUUUUUCUUUUUUCUUUUUUUUUUGUUUUUGUACUGAUCAAUUGGAGAAAUAAUCCUAAAAUAGUAUAGAAAAAUACUUCUAAAACAGGAUUCCACUAAGUAAAUACUUCUAUAAAUAUUAAGAUUCACGUUAAACUAGAGAAAAAAUGAAUUUACUUAUUGGAAAAAUAUGAUAGAUGCUCAUCUAACUUGAUUCAGUUGCAUGUCUAGAUUCGUGGAUGCUUAAUUUUCUAGCCCUCAACUUCUUCACUAUUUUUGUCAACAUAAUAAAAUUCAACAUGUGUGUAUAUAUAUAUAUCUUCUUUGCUUUCAUUCAAGUCAUUCUUUAGUGUCAAAAUUUUUGCUCAGACAAGAAUUAUUUUCAUCAAAACUGAAAUUUUGUGAUCACUAUUGUAUUAUUCUGUUGUAGUUUACAGGUUGUAGAUGAAUUUACAGGUGGUAGAUGAAUAUUGGUCAGCUUUGAGAGGUUUAAUUGCAUUGUUUUUAUAUCUCUGUUUUGCAAAUUUUUUUGUGUAAAGAUAAAGUUUAGCUGUAUUAUUUUGAUAUCUCUAUUGUCAUAUUAUUUUGUUAUAGUUUAAAGGUGAUAGACGAGUGUCGGACGGCUUUGAAUUUUUUUGUGUGUAAAGGUUAGAUUUAAUUAUAUUGUUUUGAUGUCUCUACCAUCUUAUUGUUUUGUUGUUGUUUAUAGGUGGUAGAUGAAUGUCGAUCGGCUUUGAGAAAUUCUUUUGGUAAAGGCUAGGUUUAAUUAAAUCAAUUCUCCAAAAGAUGUUAAAUUUAAUUAUUGUAUUUAUCUUUAUUAUUUAAACAAAUUUGAACUCGAUAAAGUGAGGUACACUAAACUAGUUUUAUAAUACAUGGUAACCCACUUUUACUAAUAUUAUUUACAACAGUGGCUUUUAUGGCUUUGAUUAUUUUUUUGAGAUAAGCAUCCAGUAUUGCCUCGAACUAUGGUCAAAGUUGUUACGACACACUCCAACUUCACAGAGAUCCUAUUACCCCUGAACUCAAUUUUAGCAUAUUUUUGUCACUCUUUUAUGCUGAUGUAGCACGUUUAUUAUAUAAAAGCGGCUCCACGUCAAAGAUGCCACGUCGGCUAAAAAGAUUGACAAAAGAUGUUAUGGCAGCACAAAAGAGUGACAAAAAUAUGCUAUAACUGAGUUCAGGGGUAAUAGGAUCCCCUGAAUUUGGAGUGUGUCGUAGCAAAUUUGGUCAUAGUUUAGGAGUAGUAGAUGCUUUACUCUAUUUUUUGAAAAAACUUGGUUUGAAUUUAGAUGCAACCUAUUUAGAAGAAGAAAGAAGUAUACAAAGACUUAUGUUGUCAAAAAAUUUUCUUUGGAAGGUAACUUUUGUUCUUGUUUGAAAGAACUACAAUGCUUUAUUUAUAACUCUUAGCAAAUGGUCUAGCUCUGCCUCUGCAAGGGGGUGUAAUAUAGAAGACCUACCCUUAUGCAAGCCGAUUCUAUGGCCCCAUUCCAAUGACUUUUAGGUCACAAAGCGACACGUAUGUAAGCAGCCUACCCUAACACUGCUUCCAAUGCUCAAACCUGUGACCUAUAGAUCACAUGGAGAAUUGCAUAACUGCCACCAUCAACAACUAAUUCCACGACACAAACCUAUGACUGGCAUAUAUGUAAGCAACCUAUACGGAUGUGCAAGGAACAGUAUGACUUCGCAGCUCGAACUCGUGAGCUAUAAGUCACAUGUAAACUUUAUUGUCAGCCUAUCCUGCUGUUCAGGUACUAAUGAGUGAUUUGGAAGACUCGAGCUAACGAACAAUUGUCCUUGCUCCAAAGCCAGAGAAAAAUGAUUCUCCUAAUGUACAGAGUGUGAUGGUGCAGUAUACUUUCUUAAUUCUUACUAUUGAAAAGGGCAGCCCGUUGUGCUAAAGCUCCCGCUAUGCGCAGGGUUUGGGGAAGGGUCCCACCACAAGGGUGUAUUGUACGCAACUUUACCUUGCAUUUCUGGCAGAGGCUGUUUCCAAGGUUUGAUCUCGUAACCUCCUGGCCACAUGGCAACAACUUUAUCGGUUAAUCCAAGGCUCCCCUUCAAAAGCAGCGUCGACAAAAAUCGUUUGACUGGUGAAGGGGAAGAAUACCUUCAACUACUAGGGAUGGAUUUCAAAUAAAAAGAAAACAAUAAUAAUCAAGAGGAGUAUAGAACUAAUGUAUUCAUUUAUCCCAACUUCCCUCUUUGAGAGAACCAUAGAAAAGUACUCUUGAGCAGUUCCAUAGUCAUUUACAUUAGCAUUAGCAUUCCUUGAGUAUGAAGAAGAAUAUAUACGAGUGAAAACAAAGAAGAGACUCUCCAGGUCAAAAUUCCUAAAUGGUAUGUAGAACAAAAAGGAUUAGCGCUAUGUAUAUACUCGUAAAGCUUUACCAAUCGUUGCUUAUUCUGCUGCUGUCGAUGGUGCUUUGGCCAAACUGUUAGCAAUCAGUUCUUCUGAAGACGAAUCCUCAAACUUGGGGACAAAGCUCAUUGUGUAGUGGAACUCAAUUUGUAGGCGCUGAUGAAGGGGUGUCUAUGCCAUCAAUCCUUUCUUUACAUCAACUUGUAACUCCCUAAUAGGGAUUGCUGCCAAAAAACUCUUAAUGUACUCUUUACAUGCCUCUUUACCUAUAUAAAUGAUGUUCUUUUCAGAUACCUUGUCUUCCUGCAUACUGUCGUCGCUGUUGGUGCUCAUGAAAAUUUUGCUUUCAUCCGCAGCCUCUUUGACAUUGGUUUUCUCUUUUCUAUCGCAAGAUGGCUUAUCAUCUGAUUGUUGAGACUCACUAGGUGCUUGCAUAAUUGUUGUAUCAUGGUCGAAUUUGAUGAUAUAUGCCUGAUUACAACCCUCAAAAAGCAUCUCCCCAAGUGUGUCAAUGAUAUAGUACUCGUCUUUUUCAACCUUGAGGAUAAAGAAGUGGUCAUUCCAUCUCACAAUGUAAACACAAGAGAUGCCAUGACGAGGAGUUUCUUGAGCAGACUUAGAAAUCUCGUCCCAUAUGUUGUCAAAAGACAUGGAACCAUAAAGGAAGUGGAAUCCUUCCUCUUCUUCGAUUCCUUCGGGAUGAAAGAACCCAAUGAAUGAUUUUUCUAAGACGACUGAGAGUGGACGCACUUUAGCCUCAAGAACUGUCUCGAGGUCAAAAUGCUUAUCUGGGAAACGUUCCCUAUAGGUCUCAUUUUCACAAAGAUCCCUCCACUGCAUCGAGCCUUCACAGAUAAGAGAAUCAAGUUGGGAUUUGAUAGGCAUAUCUUCAGGAUUGCAGUGGAACGAAUCAGUUAUGACAGCAACCAAGUUUGUACAAGCGCUUUCACCAGUAGCUCGUUUACUUCGUUGAUCAAUCGAAGCAAAGAAGAUCGGAGUCUGCAGCUUUAUUUAUCCAUCACGGCUUAUUAUUUCUUUUUGCUCCCAACUACCCACAGCAAAACUUUCAUCUCAAAACUUAGAGACUGAAAUCGGAGAAGUUUCCUCAGAUUUGUGCCCCUGUAUGAACUACACACAUUAGUAAGAGGACUAGUUAUGACAUAUAUCUUCAAUCAUGAACAAGAAAACCUCAGCAGUUAGAUACUUGAUACAACUGUACAAGUAGACUAAGCUACUAAAGAAAGCUACCAAACUUUGUAUUCUUCAAUUCGGCAAGCACAUUGGUGUAUAAGUUAUUUCACGUUGAUCAGACCAUGACAAGAAGAUAAAAAAUGACUCGUCAAACAUGACAAAGAAAGCAAGAAAAAAAGAGACGUACCCUAGAAGAAGACUCGUUAGAUGAGCAAAGCUGUCGGCGAUCAAAUUCUAUAUCGUCUGCACCAUCCUCUCCAUAAUGUUUCUUCAACAAUGGCUCCCCCUUGAUUUUAGGAUAUUUGAAACUCAACUUUCUCUUCCUCCAGGCAAGAAGACUACGUUUUGAACUCUGCUCUGCAGAUUGAUUUGCUGCAGUUUUAUCCUCAAGGUACUUGUGCUUUGUGUCUGAAAUAUGAUGGCUGUAGUGGACUAAAUCCUCGUCACUGCUGCUGCUGCUUGUAUUUGAACAAAAUGAUCCACCAGCAUGGUUUGCAUAGACUGGUGCUUCAUAAUUGAAUGACUUCUGAACACUUGUAGCCUCAUUUUCUUUCUCAGAUUCUCGUACCGAAUCCAAAUCAAGUUAAUCGGUAUCCACAGGAUAAACAUAAUUGGGAUCCUCACUUCUGACUGAGUUCCUUCUAUCACUGCUGCUACCUUCCUCUGCAUGAUAUGCCUUCUUGUGUCACCUAAAGGAUAAUGCUUUUCAAAAUUUAACCUUUCGCAGACCUGCUUUUAAAGAACCACCCCCAUUUCUGUCUGUCAACAAAGCCUUUCCAGGGUUCGGAGAUACUGGAGCAGACAUGAUAAACUUCAGAAAUGUCUCUGAAGCUUCUUGAGCGUUCCUCAAUUCCACAAGGUUGAGCACUAGCUGUCAACAAAUAUAUGAACAUAUCUAUAGGAAACAGUCACAUUAGAUAAUAUAUUCAAGUAGCUGUAGGAAUACAAGAACGCAAGUAAAAAGCAUGUGUUUUAGUUUCUCUUACACAGACUGAAAGGCAAUUCUUGAAGCUGCCAACACAUACUUCCAAAGGAACGAAAAUUUCAAUGCACUCUUGUUUAUCUCCUGCUACUGAAGCAAAGUCUGCAAGAUUCAAUGUCACCGCAGAAAGUACGGGUACCUUCUGAUUUGGUCCUUUGCUUGUACCCUGAUUCAGCAGAAGUAUGAAUAAAUACAAAGAAUGGAGUAAAUGAACAAUGAAAUCGAACACAAAGACAACGUGUUCAAUGGAGAAAUUAGUGUUGAUGAAAAGCUAAAACCAAAACUAAAUGAUUAGAAGCACGAAAUAAUAGACCCAUGGAUUGGAAAACACAUGAUUAUCUUGAACGAUAGGUUCAAAGCAAUCAAAGGAACAUGCAGCUAAGGCCAAUGUUGUGCCUAUGGAAGAAGAACAAAUUGCUUCAGUCUCAAACAAGUUGAGAUAUAAGAAUUUACUAUUCCAUUUAAUCUCAGCACAUGUCAUCAUCAUACCAAAUAAAAAUACAAGCGAAAAUAAGUUAUAUAAAAAAAAUAAUUAAAACCUAUUUCCAACUAGUAGAUAUGGCCUAUAUGAGUCUUCAUACUACAUUGUGUAUGAUCUCGUGACCUCCUGGUCACAUGACAACAACUUUACCGGUUAAUCCAAGGCUCCCUUUCAAAAGGGGCAUCGAGAAAAUCGUUUGACUGGUGAAGGGGAAGAAUAAAUUCAACUACUAGGGAUGGUUUUCAAAUAAAAACAAAACAAUAAAAAUCAAGAGGAGUAUAGAACUAAUGUAUUCAUUUAUCUCAACUUCCCUCUUUGAGAGAACCAUAGAAAAGUACUUUUGAGUAGCUCCAUAGUCAUUUACAUUAGCAUUAGCAUUCCUCGAGUACGAAAAAGAAAAGACAAAGAAGAUACCGACGAUCUAGUUACACUCAUAUACGAAUGAAACAAAGAAGAGACUCUCCAUGUCAAAAUUCCUAAAUGGUAUGUAGAACAAAAAGGAUUAGCGCUAUGUAUAUACUCGUAAAGCUUUACCAAUCGUUGCUUAUUCUGCUGCUGCCGAUGGUGCUUUGGCCAAACUAUUAGCAAUCAGUUCUUCUGAAGACAACUCCUCAAACUUGGGGACAAAGCUCAUCUUGUAGUGGAACUCGAUUUGUAGGCACUGAUGAAGGGGUGUCAAUGCCAUCAAUCCUUUCUUUACAUCAUCUUGUAACUCCCUAAUAGGGAUUGCUGCCAAAAAACUCUUAAUGUACUCUUUACAUGCCUCUUUACCUAUAUAAAUGAUGUUCUUUUCAGGUACCCUAUUAAUUAAUAUUUUUCUUUCUACUGUUCAAGUAGAAAAAUACUCCUAAAAUAUGACUACUUUAUUAUUUAAUUAUUUUUUAUUAUAUUAACUAGAUUUCCUAAAAUAUAUGGUAGGAGAAUUAAUUAAUAUUUUCCUUUCUACUCGAUUUUCGUAGGAGAAUUAAUUAAUAAUUUUCUUUCUAUUGUUUGAUUAGAAAAAUACUCAUAAAAUAGGACUCUAUUAAGAAAAUACUCUAUAAAUAUUAAUUAUUUUAUUAUUUUACUUUAAUUUACAGAUGUUAGAUAAAUGUGGGUCGGCUUUGAAUUUUUUUUACAUAAAUGUUAGGUUAAUUGUAUUAUCGUAAUAUCUAUAUUAAUUUGUUAUUUAAUGAUAGUAUACAGUUUGUAAUACUCUAUAAAUAUUAAUUAUUUUAUUAUUUUACUUUAAUUUACAGAUGUUAGAUAAAUGUGGGUCGGCUUUGAAUUUUUUUUAAAAUAAAUGUUAGGUUUAAUUGUAUUAUCGUAAUAUCUAUAUUAAUUUGUUAUUUUGUGGUAGUUUACAGUUUGUAGAUGAAUCUCGAUCGGUUUUUAGAAAUUUUUAUGUGUAAAAUUUAAGUUUAAAUGUAUUAUUUUUAUAUCACUUUUAUCGUAUUAUUUUGUUGCAAUUUACAGGUGAUAGAUAAAUGUUGGUCCGCUUUGAGAAUUUUUUUAUGUAAAAGUUAGGUUUAGUUGUAUUAUUUUGAUAUCUCUAUUAUUGUAUUACUUUGUUAUUGUUUACAGAUGUUAGGUAAGUGUCGAACGAUUUUGAAAAUUUUUUUGUGUGUAAAGAAUAGAUUUAGUUGUGUUAUUUUGAUAUCUCUAUCAUUAUAUUAUUUUGUUAUAAUUUAUAGAUGGUAGAUGAAUGUCGAUCGGCUUUUAAAAAUAUUUUGGUAAAGAGUAGGUUUAAUAAAUAAAUUCUCC
rnacentral:lncRNA from 1 species